AUUGAACGCUGGCGGCAGGCCUAACACAUGCAAGUCGAACGGUAACAGGAAGAGGCUUGCUUCUUUGCUGACGAGUGGCGGACGGGUGAGUAAUGUCUGGGAAACUGCCUUAUGGAGGGGGAUAACUACUGGAAACGGUAGCUAAUACCGCAUAACGUCGCAAGACCAAAGAGGGGGACCUUCUGGCCUCUUGCCAUCUGAUGUGCCCAGAUGGGAUUAGCUAGUAGGUGGGGUAACGGCUCACCUAGGCGACGAUCCCUAGCUGGUCUGAGAGGAUGACCAGCCACACUGGAACUGAGACACGGUCCAGACUCCUACGGGAGGCAGCAGUGGGGAAUAUUGCACAAUGGGCGCAAGCCUGAUGCAGCCAUGCCACGUGUAUGAAGAAGGCCUUCGGGUUGUAAAGCACUUUCAGCGGGGAGGAAGGGAGUAAAGUUAAUACCUUUGCUCAUUGACGUUACCCGAAGAAGAAGCACCGGCUAACUCCGUG
rnacentral:rRNA from 1 species